rnacentral:ncRNA from 12 species
GGGUGCGGCGCCCGGUGCCGCAGGAAAGAGGAUGGUCGGGCCGCCAUCU